UGAAAAUGAGGAUUCAAGUAGAGAUUUUCUUGAAAUGGAAGUCACCUUAUUUUAUUUUUGUUGAGAAUUUAGUGACCUAUUUUGAUUGAUUUUUUGUAUCCCUAAUAUAUCCUUAACUACUUCUUUGAAGCCUUUGGUCCAUCGGGAUGCCCUGAUUUUUGCCUAAGUUGUCUUUGUGGUAUUCGACCUAGCGGGAUUUUUAUUUUUUUGAUGAAUUUUUUUUUGUGACUGCCAUGUCAUUGAUUAUUGAGGAACAACCGCUAUAAAAUUGGGGUUUUC
rnacentral:lncRNA from 1 species